rnacentral:rRNA from 1 species
CAGCCGCCGCGGUAAUACCUGCGGUCCAAGUCGCAGCCACGAUUAUUGGGUCUAAAACAUCCGUAGCUUGCUUGGUAAGUCUCUUGUGAAAUCCCGUAUCUCAAGUACGGGGCGAGCAAGAGAUACUACCAAGCUAGAGACCGGGAGACGUAGGGAGUACGUCCGAAGUAGCGGUAAAAUGCGUUGAUCUCGGACGGACUAACGAUAGCGAAGGCACCCUACGAGAACGGUUCUGACAGUGAGGGAUGAAGGCUAGGGGCGCAAAAGGGAUUAGAUACCCCUGUAGUCCUAGCAGUAAACACUGCGCACUAAACAUCAGUACCUCCUCGAGAGGUAUUGGUGCUGAAGGGAAGCCGAAGAGUGCGCUACCUGGGAAGUAUAGCCGCAAGGCCGAAACUUAAAGGAAUUGGCGGG